CGAACGCUGGCGGCGUGCCUAAUACAUGCAAGUCGAACGCACUCUCGUUUAGAUUGAAGGAGCUUGCUCCUGAUUGAUAAACAUUUGAGUGAGUGGCGGACGGGUGAGUAACACGUGGGUAACCUGCCCUAAAGUGGGGGAUAACAUUUGGAAACAGAUGCUAAUACCGCAUAAAACCUAACACCGCAUGGUGUAGGGUUGAAAGAUGGUUUCGGCUAUCACUUUAGGAUGGACCCGCGGUGCAUUAGUUAGUUGGUGGGGUAAAGGCUCACCAAGACCGUGAUGCAUAGCCGACCUGAGAGGGUAAUCGGCCACACUGGGACUGAGACACGGCCCAGACUCCUACGGGAGGCAGCAGUAGGGAAUCUUCCACAAUGGACGAAAGUCUGAUGGAGCAACGCCGCGUGAGUGAAGAAGGUUUUCGGAUCGUAAAACUCUGUUGUUGGAGAAGAAUGUAUCUGAUAGUAACUGAUCAGGUAGUGACGGUAUCCAACCAGAAAGCCACGGCUAACUACGUG
rnacentral:rRNA from 1 species